AUUGAACGCUGGCGGCAGGCUUAACACAUGCAAGUCGAGCGGAGAUGAGGUGCUUGCACCUUAUCUUAGCGGCGGACGGGUGAGUAAUGCUUAGGAAUCUGCCUAUUAGUGGGGGACAACAUUCCGAAAGGAAUGCUAAUACCGCAUACGUCCUACGGGAGAAAGCAGGGGAUCUUCGGACCUUGCGCUAAUAGAUGAGCCUAAGUCGGAUCAGCUAGUUGGUGGGGUAAAGGCCUACCAAGGCGACGAUCUGUAGCGGGUCUGAGAGGAUGAUCCGGCACACUGGGACUGAGACACGGCCCAGACUCCGACGGGAGGCAGCAGUGGGGAAUAUUGGACAAUGGGGGGAACCCUGAUCCAGCCAUGCCGCGUGUGUGAAGAAGGCCUUAUGGUUGUAAAGCACUUUAAGCGAGGAGGAGGCUACUGAGACUAAUACUCUUGGAUAGUGGACGUUACUCGCAGAAUAAGCACCGGCUAACUCUGUGCCAGCCGCCGCCGUAAGAC
rnacentral:rRNA from 1 species